UACGUAGGUGGCAAGCGUUGUCCGGAUUUAUUGGGCGUAAAGAGCGUGUAGGCGGCCAGGUAGGUCUGCUGUGAAAACUCGAGGCUCAACCUCGAGACGUCGGCGGAAACCAUCUGGCUAGAGUCCGGAAGAGGAGAGUGGAAUUCCUGGUGUAGCGGUGGAAUGCGCAGAUAUCAGGAAGAACACCAACGGCGAAGGCAGCUCGCUAGGACGGUACUGACGCUGAGACGCGAAAGCGUGGGGAGCGAACAGG
rnacentral:rRNA from 1 species